rnacentral:rRNA from 1 species
AGUGAACGCUGGCGGUAGGCCUAACACAUGCAAGUCGAACGGCAGCACAGUAAGAGCUUGCUCUUACGGGUGGCGAGUGGCGGACGGGCGAGGAAUACAUCGGAAUCUACUUUUUCGUGGGGGAUCACGUAGGGAAACUUACGCUAAUACCGCAUACGCCCUACGGGUGAAAGCAGGGGAUCUUCGGACCUUGCGCGAUUGAAUGAGCCGAUGUCGGAUUAGCUAGUUGGCGGGGUAAAGGCCCACCAAGUCGACGAUCCGUAGCUGGUCUGAGAGGAUGAUCAGCCGCACUGGAACUGAGACACGGUCCAGACGCCUACGGGAGGCAGCAGUGGGGAAUGUUGGGCAAUGGGCGCAAGCCUGGUACAGCCAUACCGCGUGGGUGAAGAAGGCCUUCGGGUUGUAAAGCCGUUUUGUUGGGAAAGAAAAGCAGCAGGUUAAUACGCCGCUGUUCUGACGGUACCCAAAGAAUAAGCACCGGCUAACUUCGUG